rnacentral:tRNA from 1 species
GCGGGCGUGGCGGAAUCGGCAGACGCGCCGGUCUUAGGAACCGGUGGUAUAUCCGUGCAGGUUCAAUUCCUGUCGCCCGCACCA